rnacentral:rRNA from 1 species
GAUGAACGCUGGCGGCGUGCCUAAUACAUGCAAGUCGAGCGAACGGACGAGAGGCUUGCUUCUCUGAUGUUAGCGGCGGACGGGUGAGUAACACGUGGAUAACCUACCUAUAAGACUGGGAUAACUUCGGGAAACCGGAGCUAAUACCGGAUAAUAUUUUGAACCGCAUGGUUCAAAAGUGAAAGACGGUCUUGCUGUCACUUAUAGAUGGAUCCGCGCUGCAUUAGCUAGUUGGUAAGGUAACGGCUUACCAAGGCAACGAUGCAUAGCCGACCUGAGAGGGGGAUCGGCCACACUGGAACUGAGACACGGUCCAGACUCCUACGGGAGGCAGCAGUAGGGAAUCUUCCGCAAUGGGCGAAAGCCUGACGGAGCAACGCCGCGUGAGUGAUGAAGGUCUUCGGAUCGUAAAACGCUGUUAUUAGGGAAGAACAUAUGUGUAAGUAACUGUGCACAUCUUGACGGUACCUAAUCAGAAAGCCACGGCUAACUACGU